UGUUACUUUGAUUCGUAAGGAAAAAGUAAAGAACUAGAAACUAAUUACUAGUGCUCUAGUGCUUUCUAAGUCCCUUAAGUUCUAAUAAAGAAGUUCUUCUUAUUAUUACACCAACAUCACCAUACCUCAUAAGAUGAAUCGGGAGCUAGUCGAAAACGAAUAUAAGGAUAUAGUCUAUGAUAGGCCCGGUCACAGAUUAUCGCGUUGAAUUCAUACAAGAGAAUUUUAAAAGAUCUAACAAUGACUAUAGAACCCACAAUACACCGAAUUUGAUCGCUUUGGCGACCUUGGCUAGAUCAAACAGGUUUAUCAUGAAAACGGUGAAUAACUUCGAAUAAAGUUGCUGCUACUACAAAAACUACAUUAAAACAAAAAAUUUCUGGUAAUCUAACAACAAUGUCAGCCUCGAAAUCCAGCGCAGAAUCACUCUUGCCAACAGGUGCUACUUUGGACUGAGUAGGCAAUUGAAAAGUAAAGUCCUCUCUCGGCGAACCAAAAUCAAACUCUACAAGUUAAGCUUAUCAUUCCCGUCCUGCUUUAUGGUGCAGAAGCUUGGACGAUGUCAACAUCAGAUGAGACGACACUAGGAGUUUUCGAGAGGAAAAUUUUGCGCAAGAUUUAUGGUCCUCAGAACAUUGGCAACGGCGAAAACCGCAGACGAUGGAACGAUGAGCUGUACCAGUUAUACGACGACAUUGACAUAGUUCAGCGAAUAAAUAGACAGCGGCUACGCUGCUAGGUCAUGUUGUACGAAUGGACGAAAACACUCCAGCUCUGAAAGUGUUCGAUUCAGUACCCGCCGGAGGAAGCCGAGGAAGGGGAAGGCCUCCACUCCGUUGGAGGGACCAGGUGGAGAGCGACCUGGUUACACUUGGAAUCUCCAACUGGCGCCGAACUGCGAAGGAAAGAGAGGAGUGGCGCAUUAUCAUCGAUUCGGCUAUAACCGGCUAAACGAUUCAACGCCAAUCACAUAGAUACAUACAAUCUAACAAUACUUAUCAAAAAGCCUGUCUUUAAACCUGAACUUAAUACCUUUUUAGAGCUUACAAUUUCACUUUUUUACUCCAAUUCCAUCGUCCAUUCCAGAAAACACAAAUAAUUUGAAUAAGUUAUGAAUUUUUAUUUUCUUAUUUAUAUUAUUCACGACUUUUUUUUAGUUUAUUAAUGAUUUCACUGAAACAUCGAUACCAUUUGGGGUACUAAUAUAGUAUUCAGUACUUAGGUUAUUUUUUUCAUAAUUUUUUUCAUAUUUUUCAAUUUAUACAUAUACAUAUCGAUUUGUUGAAUGUAUGUAAGGUUGUAUGUUUACGUGUAGAAACAGCUAUUGACUUAAAGGAUUUUAGAUUUUGUUUGUUGCUUCUCGCUUUUCUUUUCUUUUGGGGAAUUUUGUGAAAACGUUGCAGCUACUAAGAGAUAUCGGUGUAGACAGUUGUUGACUUUCCAUCAAUGCAAUGUAAAAAUGUAUGUAUGUGUGCAGUUAUUUUAAAUAUAUAUAUAAAUAUAUUUAUAUAUAUAUAUGAGUGUGUGGCUGUGUGUAUGUAUGUAUAUCGCUUCAUAAUCUCCAAUGCAUUUGUAUGCAUUUAUAUAUGUAUGUAUGUAUGUAUAAUAUGUAUUUAUGUAUGUAUAUAAAACUUCAUUGUAUUACAAUUCUUUAAAACAAUUACAAUAUUUCAUUUACUUAAUAUUUCGUUAAUUAGCGCUACUAACUACACACACACUUUGACGUUUGCUAUUACAAUAGAUAAUUCAUUUUUAUUAGUACAUACAAUAUAUAAUGAUAUUUUCUGUUUUUUUUUUUUUUUAUUUAUUAUUAAUUGUUAAGUAUUCAAUAUUGUAUUUCUUGCGCUUUAAAUUCAUUUCAAUGGCCACGUUUGUGGGAUGGUGCGACACAGUCGCUUUGUGACGACGUUCUUUUUUGGUUUGUUUAACUUUUGUAAGCAAUUCGAAUCCCGAUUUUUUCAUGAAUUUGCUGUUUAAUUUUUUAUUUUUUAUUUAUUUAGUAUUAAUGUAUGUGUAUAUGUACGCUUUAUUUAUAGGCUAAAAAGCUGUUGCUGCCGGUAGGUAUUAUUUUCCAUUAUAAAGUCGGUAUUUAAAAAGCUUUUUAAAAUAUAUAUUUUUCUAUUGUAUGUUUUGGCCGUUUGCCUCAAUCGUAAACACGCUGCUGAUUUUUUUUUUUUGAAAAAAAAAACACUUUCUGCUGAGUUAAAGAAGAAAUGAUGAAUUUUAAACGGAAACAAAAUUCGAAAAAUAUUGUGUUUUGAACCAAAUUUAGUAGUUAAUUUAAAAAUCCUUGUUUACAAAUAGAAAAUUGUUUACCGCUGAAGACCAACAACAUCAUUUUAUAAAUUUAAGCACUUAAAGAUUAUUUUAUAAUAUAAUAUUAACAAUACAUACAAAAUAUUUAAUUAUAGAACAUAUACUCGUACAUAUAUUUACUUUUUUUAUAUAAUAUAUAGAAUUCGUUUGCAAUGCCAAGUGUUAUAACAGUUAUUACAGCGAUAUUAAAAUAAGAAAUAUAUAUUUUAUUUUUUUUACAGCGAUAUAUAUAUUUGACAAACAUAAAUUGUACCCUAGUAAACCUAAAAUAUUUCUACACAAAUUUGAGCAAGUAUUAAGUGGAACCCUUUGGUCCGAAAAUAUGGAUCAUACAAAUUGCAGUUAGACUCCACAUACGUUCCACAGAAAGUAACAGAGCUUAAUUUUUCUUUGCAUUGUUUACUGAAUAUACAAAUUUAAAACACAUAAUUAAACAAAUAUUUACAAUUAAAAUUUGUGCGAAAAUUUUGAAGAAUUUAUAAAUAUUUAUCAACAUUGACUCAAACACGUAUGUAAUUCUACAGAUUGUAACACAAAUGUAUAGUUUUUUACUUGAAAAUUGCAAUAAAAAUAUUUUCUUGAUCUCUUCUAGAGUGCAUACUACUUGAAAUGUUACAAAAAAAAAAUAUUAAAAAAAUAUAAUAAAAGUAAUAUAUAAAAAAAAAAUAAAAAAAAAUUUAAAAAUAAAAAAAUAUAAUAAAAAAAUGUAAACAAAAAUAUAAAAAAAUUUUAAAAUACAGUUGAACUUCAAGCUUCCUUAACUCGAAGUUCUCCAUAACUCGAACUCUAGAAUUGGCAAUAGAAGUCAAAUUUCAUACAAAUUUCCUACCAUAAAUCUAUCUUUUCGAUCAGGACAUCAUUUUUUUGUGGAUUAUGGUGAUUCGAGUUAGGGAAGUACAACUGUAUUAAAAAUAGCAAAUUAUUUGUAUGCACUUAUUUCCAAAAUAGAAUCUAUUAUUUAUAUUCCAAAACCUUCACCCUCAAAAUAUUCAAAUAUUCUUUAGAGUUCUCAACAGCAACCAAAUAACCUUUUCAAAUGCAUAAAAUUUCAUAAAACUGAUCUUCAACUAAAUCUUUAGAAUACUAACAUUGAUACAGCUUAGCAUUUUUACUAUUUUCAUAAAUUGAAAUAUGUAACGGAUAUACAGAUUUUGAAAUUUAAUUUUCAAUAUUGUACAACGUUAAGAAUACUCCGGCAAACGCGUAGAUAUCCAAGGAAUUAAGUAGUGACUCAAAUUUGUUUUUGCUAAUUACAUUAUAUGGCAAAAUCGAUUUUUUUCUGGUAUUGUACCGGACUCACGUUUUUUCUGGAGAAUAUAUGGAUUCGAAGUUCGAAAAAACGACUUUUUAAAAAUAGUAUUAUUAAUACAUUUUUCUGUUAAUUCAAUGGUGUAUAAAACUUUUCCGCCAAGCUUAUCUAACAGAUGCUAGGAAAGGUCAAAGUUUGAUCUUCGAAAAACAAAAAUUGUAUAUCGAAAAAUACUGGACCCCUUAUAACAUCUGUCAUUUAAGCUUUAAUUAAGAACAAAUUUAGAUUAUAUCUAUAUUUUGGAUUUUUUAGUAUCUAUAUUCUGUAAGUAAUAAUAAUUUUUUAGUCAUUUUUGCGAACUUCGAAGGCAAAUAUUUCGAUUUUGAAGGCUAACUUCGAAAAUCGGAGAGUACACAUUUUUUACUUAUGACUCAAUCUCCCGGAAAAAGUGAGUUUGGUUCAAUACUCAGCAGAGUGUUGCACAGUAUUAUUUAUUAUUGCGUUUUCUAAAGAACUCAGCUGUUUAUAGAGUGCACUACAUCGAAAAUCCUUAGCUAACUGCUAGCAAAUUAGAAACUACAGGAAUGUUUGUGUAUUUUGUGUGUGCAAUGCGUUGUGACAUACAAAUCAAAUUUUUAUUUUACAAAUUUUGAUGAUUACAUUUAGAUUAGCGCCAACAGUUCAGCUACAUAUAUAAUAUAAAUACUUUUCACGGUUCUCGUAAUUGUGCUGUGUAUGUGUGUGUGUGUGGGUAUGUAUGUAUGUGUGUGUGUGUUUUAAAAUGCAGCAAGUUUCUUUCGUUUUAAUUUGUUAAUUUUCUUCAUUCCACUCCACUCCACUCUCUCUUAAUCCUUCAACAGGUAUACAAUUAUUAUUUGUAUUUUUACAAUUAAAGCUUAUAUUGUUGCUGUGGCAUAUAUGUAUGUACAUCAACAACAUCAAUAUGUACUACCUUUGUUAUCAACAUAUUUAAAUAAAUAUAUUUAAAAGCCGUUAAAAAAGGAUUUUUUCUUUUAUAAAAUUGCAAACCUUUGUAGCUCAUACAUAUAUAAAAAAUAAACACGCGUAUUUUCGUAAGUUUAUAAGCAUAUAUGCAUGUAGUAUGUACGUAAUAGCACUAAAAUAAAAUUCCAUAAUAAUAUAAAGAAAAAUAUAAUAUGUUAAAAAGUAGUAAAUACAUUUAAAAUGCAUGUUUUUAGCUUUUUGCUUUUUGCGCGAUGACAGUUUCGUUUUUCGUUAUUUGCUUCUACACGACUCUUAAUCUCAAUUAUUCAAAAAUUUGACCAAAAUGCCUUAGUUCAGUUUCAGUAUCAGCAGUAGUAACAAUUUAGCAAUAUCCAAUAUCAUUCAAAUUUUACUUUUGGGAUGUUAAACAUCCAUUUUGCACAAUUAUUACGCUUUCAACUUACAUUACUAAACUUAGUUACUAAGAAAUAUUCAAUUUAAUUCCACAACUUUACAAAAUAACUUUGUUUCUACUUGGCAAACGACUCGUACAUGUGUAUGUAAUUAAAAAAAAAAAAUCAAAAAACCAAAAAUAAAGAAAUUGGCAAUUAUAAGGAUACAAAUUUGCAAAAUGCAGACAUCAGUGCGCACUUCGCAACACACAUAUAUAUAUGGAUCCAUUUUACGUAUACCAAACCAAUUUAUAUGUUACUUUUAAGCAUUCUAAAUGAUCAAUGUCGGCUCAACGCAGCGCCAUGACAGCUGUUCCUUUGUCUAGGCCUCAGUUUCGGCGCCCUUUAGCCGGAGCCGUGCGAAAUCCUCAAAGAUAAUGUCAUCAUCUUGUGAAUCAUCCUCGUCCAAUUGUAUCAAAUUGGUUGUGGGCACCUCUUCGGGCUGCGCCUCGCUAACACCAUUGCCGGUACCAACAGCUUCCAAUGACAAGCCACCAUCACGUAGGCUCUGACGCGGCGACUUAUCCAUUAAUAGUGGAUUAUCCUCCUCUUCUGGCUUGGGAUGCAUCAACGUGAAUGGCAAUUCAGCGACCAAAUCAUUGCCCAUUAAAGCGCCACUGAUGAGCAGUUUAACUUUCACCUUGUAGUGUACAAUGAUGCCAAGACUUUCGCGUUGUGCCGGAUUCGUUAUGAGCGUGCUGGACGCCAGAUUUGUAUCCUCGUGCUUCAACUGGCCGUCGAGCGCGAGUCCCCACUUGUCCUUGUUGUCGGCAAGCAGUGGACACAGUUCGAACACUUUCGACAGCGUAAAACCGGGCAGCACCUGACAACCGUCCUCCGAUUCGGUUUCCGCCACCACCGACUUGUACUGCGCCGUCGAGAAAAGGCAAAUGUCGGCGAAUUGACGGACACAAACUUUAAUCUUCUUUACGUUGCGAUUCGAAUUGUUGGCUAUAUGCACAUUGACGGAUAUCUUCUCACCAUGAUGAUAGAGCUCCUUAUCCAAACUGGCUUCUAGGUGGAUUUUAUUCGGUUUCAACAGAAACUCUUUGCUCACUUCGAUGGAUGGCUGCUCGCCCACCUUGGACGGUGCGUACAUAACCUUGCGUAUGGUCAAACGGACAGAGUUGCGUUUAUGCGGUUUAUCAUCGAUGUGUUCGCC